AGUGAACGCUGGCGGUAGGCCUAACACAUGCAAGUCGAACGGCAGCACAGUACGAGUUUGCUCUUCCGGGUGGGGGGAGGGGGACGGGUGAGGAAUAUAUCGGAAUCUUCUUUUUCGGGGGGCUUCACGUAGGGAAACCUACGACAAUAUCGCAUCUGACCCACCAGUGAAAGCAUUGGAUCUUUGGACCUUGUGCGAUUGAACGCGCCGAUGUCGGGGUAGCUAGUUGGCGGGGUAAAGGCCAACCCAGGCGCCGAUCCGCAGCUGGUCAGAGAGGAUGGUCAGCCACACUGGAGGUGGGACAGGGACCAGAGUCCUACGGGAGGCAGCAGUCGGGAAUAUUGGACAGUGGGCGCAAGCCUGGCCCAGCCAUACCGCGUGGGUGAAGAAGGCCUUGGGGUUGUGAAGCCCUUUUGUUGGGAAUGAAAAGCAGCAGGUUAAGACCCCGCUGGUCUGACGGUACCCAAAGAAGAAGCACCGGCUAACUACGUG
rnacentral:rRNA from 1 species